ensembl:lncRNA novel transcript, antisense to GSE1
AGGUAUCAGUGUUCCCUGGCACCACUGUCUGCUGAGCUGUGUGUGUCAGAAACAGAGGGAACCAGGUGCCAGUCCCUCCCCUGGCCUAGCUCUUCCCACUACCAUGACUCUUGUUGGGAGUGAAAGGAUUUUACCCCCUUUCUUUGUCAGCAGCUGGCCUGGACUCCCAGGGGAGCCUGGUCAAUAUUAAUGGACACGCAAGGCUGUGGGGCACACAGGGUUUUGUGAUUAUGGAUUAUCUCCUGCUCAGCACCAUCUUGAAGGUGGAGACAAAAGUUCUCAGCCAGGCUGGCCACACUGAGAAGAGGAUGUUUGUGAAAAGACCUGAAGGAAACGAGGACACUAGCCACAGAGAUAGCUGGGGAAGAGUGUUCCUGGAACAAGGAACAGCAAGCGCAAUGGCCCAGAGGCAGCAGCACAUUUGCAAACCUUUUCUUAAAGGGCCAGAUGGUAUUUUUUGGCUUUGUGGGCUGAAUGGUCUCUGUCAAAACCACUCAGCUUUGCCACUGCAGCACCCAAGCAGCCUCAGACAAUACCUAAAUGAACAUGUGUGGCUGUUCCAAUAAAACUUUAUUUACGGACACUAAAA